rnacentral:rRNA from 1 species
GUGGGGAAUUUUGGACAAUGGGCGAAAGCCUGAUCCAGCCAUGCCGCGUGCAGGAUGAAGGCCUUCGGGUUGUAAACUGCUUUUGUACGGAACGAAACGGUCCGGGUUAAUACCCUGGGCUAAUGACGGUACCGUAAGAAUAAGCACCGGCUAACUACGUGCCAGCAGCCGCGGUAAUACGUAGGGUGCAAGCGUUAAUCGGAAUUACUGGGCGUAAAGCGUGCGCAGGCGGUUUUGUAAGACAGGCGUGAAAUCCCCGGGCUCAACCUGGGAAUUGCGCUUGUGACUGCAAGGCUGGAGUGCGGCAGAGGGGGAUGGAAUUCCGCGUGUAGCAGUGAAAUGCGUAGAUAUGCGGAGGAACACCGAUGGCGAAGGCAAUCCCCUGGGCCUGCACUGACGCUCAUGCACGAAAGCGUGGGGAGCAAACAGGAUUAGAAACCCGUGUAGUCC